ensembl:lncRNA
CCCCCUUUCAUUCUACUGCAGCUCCAACCGGAGCAAGGAGAGGGCGUCUGUUCCACAAAGGUUUGCAAAAUAAAAUUAAGAAGAAGAAGAAGAAGAAGAAGAGGAAUGUAAUAACCGAGCGGUGGCGGAGAGGGGAAUCUGCAAUAACGUUGCAAAGCGUUGCACGCGCUGCGGGCCGCGCUGGGAGCGGCGGUUGUGCUCCGUCAUUGCCGGGGCUGCAGGGCGGGCACGCGCCGCUCCCCUCGCGCUCAGCCCCGCGCCGUAGCAAAGUCGCGGCGGAACGGCGUGCGCUGCUCCCUUCGGACGAGCAGUCUUUAUUUUGUAAUCCCACAUCCCGUGGGUUGUGAUAAUCCGAGAGCCCAAUCUCCUCCUCCUGUUUUGCACUUGGAGCGAUGUGCCCUGGGACACAUGGAACGAUGUGCAAAUCGCUCAUGGAAAAAGAGGGGAUGGAUGAAGUCAGGCUGUGAAGGACCGCAUCCAGCAGCAGGAUGGAGGCUGCGCUCCGAUGGCUGCUCCGUGCGAUGGGAACGGGCGUCUGGAACGGCGGCAGGAGCCGCGUGAGGACCUCCCCUGGCAGAGGCUCCCUUGCUCCCUUGGCUGGGAUGAAGUGCUGUGGCCGCAGGCAUAUGGGGCACACUGAGACAAACUGAGCAGCUUUUUAAGAAUGUCCUGAGACCCUUGGCAAUGGAGAGAGAUUGCAGUGCAAGCACUUUUCUGGAUUACUCUGUCACCGAUGUCAAAUCAAAGCAUCAAGGAUAUAAAUCUUCAGUAAACAUCUGGCCUCACUUCAGCCAGGUUAUGCAAUGCCUCAAGUACAUUCAGCAGCAGAUUAUGCUGCGUUCUCCAUUUGUGCAAUGCAAGCUAAUGUGAAUAUCAAGUCACAUCAGUGGUCUAGACAAGUAGUUGGGAGAUAAAGACAGCAACCCAAAGCGGGAAGUUUGGCCUCUCAGGGCACGUCAAGGGAAAACUGACAUGUCACUGAAGACCCAGAAAGAAAGAAUGCCAGAGAAGAGGUAAAUCAUAGAAAAGCCUAAGCAUCACCUCUGCUCAGAUGUGAAAGCCAUCGAGGUCUGCAACAUCUCGAGAAACAUCCUGCGGCUCUUACACCAUGGGAAGAUGUCCUUUUGAAGUGCAAGUGAAUCCCUGUGUAUGUAUUAACAUCACAGGAUGGAGCAGAAAAGUAUAACAGGGAGCUGAGGUCCUGAUGGAUUUCAGCAGUGUGUCUGCAGCCCAGGGCUCCCUCCUCUUGUCUGUUCUGGAGCGCGGUGUCUCUCUCCUUCACCCCCCUUGUGCAGACGCACAUCAGUGGCUGAUACAACAACCGUGUUGAAGAACAGCAACUUCCAUUCUCUUGGUUGGUUGGGAGCGCUGAAGAGGAACUCGAGCAGCCUCAGAGAUGACACACGUUGGGCUUCCAUCUCCGCAGCCAUGCAGCUGUGUCACCACCGUUGCUGUGCAGCCAGCAGGGACAGGACACGGUGUGGCUGACAGCCCUGGGGAUGAGGACAUCCAGUUCUGAGGGACUUGCGGUCUGCUGGUAAGCAAACACACUGUCUGGCAGUGCUCAGUGGUGUCCUUCUGAAAAACCUUGUGUGCAAUUACAUGGCUCACAGCUACACACAGGUAGAGCCGGGUGAACACCAUUUCUCAUCUAUGUAUUCCAAGAGCAUCAAUGGUGCCCAUCCUCACUGUAUGCCUCCAGCAUGGGAGGGAGAGGAUUAAUUAAAUGGACCUCAGAACGCUGCCUCUGCUUGCCACCCUUCGUAUGUCUGAACUGGAGCCCAUCAGUCAGCCUCUGUUGGUGCCGCUGGAACACCAGGGCAGUGCUCGGGACAUCAGACAAACCUGUGGGAGGGGAAGACAGUUACAGUUUGAUUUUUUGGAUGCUUGAGGUGAAGAAACAGGCUCUGCCCAUGCAGUCACAGAUGGGACCUUAUGAGAUAUUGGUCAUGAAGUGCCAUCAUGGAAGAAGCUCAAGCUUCAGGAAUUCUAAGCAUCACCGGUCCAAACAAAUUUUGAACUUUCAAGCUGGGAAGGGAGAAAGCAUUUUCUUUUUGAUUUUACUCCAGCUAAAGCACAUCGGGCUGAUCCUGCUUUUGACAGUGCAAGUACUGAAGUCAGUCCUGCACCACCACCAGUUCACAGACUGGAAAAGUGGAGAAACACCUGCUUGCUGCAGAGGAUCUGCUAAGGAAGUCCAAAGGGAAACUAUGCACAGAGGGGAAGAGCAGAUGCCAAGUGAAACAGAACCAUGUGGGUCAUCGUUAUGCUGUUCCAGGUAGGACUGUGGAUACCAAAGCAGGGAUGGGGUGACGGGGCGACCGAAGGAACAAAGGAACAGGCCCACAACCACAACAUCAUAGCAGGAAUUUUACUUACCUUCAGCCUCAAGAGGACAGAGAUUGAGGGGAAUGACAAAGAGAAACAAAAGAUAAGAACUUUUCCCAGGACAAAGGGAUGUUACUAUUUAUGAACCUGCAAGAGAAUUAGAGCUGAAAUACUUAGACAGAUGAAAAAAAAAGAGAGAGAUUUUAAUUAAUGAUGAUAACUCUUAGAAAAAGAACCAGAUUGCCAGCCCUAAAAACUGCCAAUUCUUUUUAUCCACAAUGUAUACACAACCUUGGGGAGGCUGCUGCUAAGAGCCCCAGCACAGGACAUUGCCCUGAGCUUAGAGAAGUCCAACAUCUCAGUGGUCACACGCUUUGGCUUUUGCUGCAGCUGCACUUUGCAACAUGAGUAGCUGUGCACUACAUCAAUUCCAUGAUACAAUCAGAUCCGUUGACAUGGGCAAUUUGUCCCUAAUGACUUGAGUCAGCCUACAAAGGUUACCAAGAAUCACAAAUCCUACUCAGAUAAACGUAGAGUAGCACAGGUCCCAUUCAAGGACCAAACCUAAGGAAGUCAUGGUAAAUGGAUUACCAGGCCCUUCUAAUACCUAGGGACAUUCUUAUUUAAAAAUAAACUAUAAAAAUAAAGAAAAAUGAUUCCUCAUUCAGAUCAAGUCAUUUUGGUUAAAUUCCUAUUAUCCUGUUUAAACAGCAUCCUUUUAUCCCAGUUUUGAGGAGCAUCAUAUCUGUGGGGGCCACAAGGCACAGAAUUUGGCAAAGCAGCAACUGCAGAAUUUCUUCCUGAGUUAGAAGAGAGGGGGAGGGAUUGUUUUUUUUAGUUGUUAAUACAUUCUGGAGCAAUGAGGUGUUAGCAGAAGCCUUUCACCAUCUCCCUCGACAUCCUGUUCCCCACCCCUCUGCAGCUGGAUGGGAACUCACCUCCCAGCAGUUCUAGGCAGACAGACUGGGGUAACAAAUCCCCUGGUAGAAAGAAAUGCAAUCUGACUGAUCCCUGAAAAUGUAAUUUCUAGUUCACAGGGGCUAACAGAUGCAGGUAGCUCAAGCUAAAGCAGAAGGGUACCACCUCACCACAGCUUUCUUACGGGAUGGAAAAGCAGUGAUCUUUACUACUAGAGACUGAUAUUACAUAGAUUAAGUCAAAUGUAUCAACUUCACUUUAACAUGAGUGUUUCUAUUACCUGGGUCAGAGAGUCUGUGCAGUCACUCUCCAGAACCCGCUGUUAUUAAUUCAGCAAUUAUAGCUUUAUGGUGGCAGGGAUUCCUCGGUGUUUGAGCUGGCGCUGGAAAGCUGUAAUUCUGAAUGGAACAUGACAUGAAUUACUGGAUUGCUGUAAUUCUUCAGCUUUUCAUGCAUUUUCACUGCAUAUAUUAAAAUACAGCAAGCAAUUCACUUUUAAUUAUGUAAAUUCCAAGACAGUAAGACAAGAGAUGGAUGAGUUUUUAAAUGCCUGCUCUGCCUGACCACCUGUGGUUAGCACAGAAAGCCAUGGGCUCAGCAGGUCACCCUGCCCUCCGCACUCCUCUCCCGGCUGUGCACAACACCGCCUCUUUUUAGUAUUCAGCGGUACUUCGAGAGCAAAGAGCACAGGAAAGAAAUAGCCAGAGGGGGGCUGGGAAAAGUCAGAUCCUGUCCACCUGCCUCCCUCACUUCUCUGGGUUUCCAAACAGACGAUACAUCACUGUUCUGACAUCAACAUAAGACCGCAAGGGCUGCAGAUAUUGACUGCUCUCUUCUUUGGCAAUUAUCUUCUCAAUGUUGAGAUGUUAUUAACAACUUCACCAGAAUAUAUGAGUCAGGAUCAUAAUUCUACAGCUCUAUGCCUGGCUUCUUUGCUGCUCCUUAGCAAAGCUCAUGGCUGCAACCAGCACGUCCAUGCACAAGUCUGUGCAGUUAUUGUAAAGGAGAAAUAGGUUACAGCGUUCUCAAAGACAUUGUUUUUAAAUUGUAAGAUUCUGAGUGCAAGUAAUGAUGGCUUGUUAAAAGUCUAGUGACUGUAUCUAAUAGCUGCAGUGUUCGGCGCUGUAAUUACAGUAGCAAGAGAUUGCUGAGCACGUGUAAAAAAGGAAAUAAUUGGGGUAGCAGCAACGCAAAAGCUUCUCUGGGCCUAAAGCAACUGUUAUUUUGCCCUCCUACUGAUGUGCCACUUAACGAAGCUACAAUGGUUGGAAACGAGCUCUCUUUGCAGUUAAGUUGGGUGUUUUCUGUUUAGGAGCCCUACGGCUUCACCCCCAGUACCUCCACAGCUCAGGACGCAGAGGUAGAAUUACACAAACGCUUAUUGCCUUGCCCUGCGAGAAUACAUCUGCCUCUCCUCCCUAGACGCCAGGGAGAACUUUCAAGCAAGCAAAUUAGCAAUGCAAAUCUACAGCGACCUCUCCGAGGAGAGAGCACUGCUGUGCUCUGUUCUUCACGUUAGUAUUUCCAACCCUGGUGGACACUUUCCAUUUUCUCUAAUCUCUUCAUCCUCUUUUCCCCACCUAGGGACGUUUCUUUGCUCAUCUCAGUCUCGCUUCUCUAAAGGUGGUUUCUUGCAGCUUCAUCAGCAGCUAUUCUGUCUGCUGGAGUCUUCUGCUGCUUUCCUGUGUGCCUAUUGCAGAACUGCAAAAGAACACCAUCUUCCUGAAGUAGUAGAUGGAGUGCAUUUCCAUCCUGCUCUUGGCAUUGCUAUUACAAGCUUCACUUGGAUGUGGCAUGUGCCCCCAAACCCUGGAAUUCAGCCUCAUCCCCAAGCUUUUUGAACCUCUCUGCUCUGUUCUGGCAUACCUAUUGAUCACAUCUAUAUAUCUAGCCAGAAGCGAACCUUACCUUCACCCCUAAAGCUCCUGCAGAAACCUCACUUGUUUGUUAGUCAGCUGCUUUCCUGGGUCACUGCAGGUCUUUUCUAAAAAUCGUGUGCAAUUUUACCGCUCGCUGAGCGAAGAACAGAACUACCUGCCUUCCACAGAACUACCUGCCUUCCUUCUUUACCUGCUUUGCUUUCACAGAGCAAUGCCUUUCCGGGCAGGGAUGCUACUGCAUCAGGCACUUACCAACAAGUAUCACCACGUUCCCUACUUCUACUCCCAAGCCAUCACAUGACUUCUCUCAGUCUCAGCGUGAGACAGGCCUGGUUUGAUCUGACAAAGCAUCCAAACACAUGUUCCUCUAUGAAUUCAGCAGCAAAAAAGGCUGAGACCCAAGAACUAAACAACUGUGGUACUCUUCCCACUGCAGUAGGAAAAGUACCUCUUGCUCAUUGUGAGCAGUCGCUGGAAACUUUUCUACGUUCCAGUACACAACAGGAAAAGCAGACACUGUGUUUAUAACCAGAAGGAAAAGAAGAGCGCAAAAGGAGCUGCUGGCUGUGGGACUGAGGGAGUUCUUUCAAAGUAUAAAACGAAGCACAAGACUUGUGCAGAUCCUUCUGUAUCCUGCCGUUGUGUAGCAAUGGGAGUUGCAACUCUUAACAUUAAUUCUGCAAUACACAUCUACUGCUGGUUCCACCAACCAAAGACUGCGUAAAGAUCACCUUGCAAUGAGAAUCAGUUUAGCUCCAUUUAUUUCUUUAACGUCAGUGGAAUCACAGAGAUCACUUAUAACCUUGCAUGUUAAGUAAAGCAAUUAAUUGCACUACUGCACCAGGUUUAGACAUGAAAGGCAGACUUAAUAACAGGUUUAAAGAAAAGGCUUAGAGUAGGGGUUCAGAAUGCAGAAUAAGGGUUAGUGACAGCUAAUACCAGCCUGUAUAUAGAGAGCAAGGUUAAUAGUUGGCUUAAAGAUUGCUCAGAUCAAUAAAAGAACAGCACAAUGUACAUAAUAAUAUUUGUUUCCAUCAGUGUUUUGAUGGAAACAAGUGGCAGAAGCACCAAGACUGCCCCUUCAUUUAAAGCAUGGUUUACAUGAGCAUGCUGGCUGCCAGACUGGAAACAUCCACUUCUGGCCUCGUCUCGGGGGGCUUCCCAUGCAGCUGGUAGAGAGCAUGGGAUGCAUUUCACAUCAGACUACAAAGGCAUCUGUGGAGCCUGGCUCUGACAAGGUAUCCUCCAACCAGACAUCAGUGCGGGGUGGGAAUGGCCCCGUACUGCCAAGACACGGAAGGUCUGGAGCCUGGGGUGGACUGAAGAAAUGGGGUCUGGGUUAACAGCAUGGCUGGAGUAACUGGUGGGUACAACAGGGCACAUAACGCUUUUUGCAGAGGUCUGAAGGUGAACUGACAUACAGCUCUCAUUUUCAAGGAACAUGGGAGGCCUAUUUUGCUUAUUGCUGAAAGAAAUGUAAGAAUGUUUGAAUUUGAGGCGCCUCAAUACCUUUUUAAUACCUUUGUUCUUAGCGUUCUUAACACCUGCUUAGAGCGAGCAGAAGUGGAGGUUGGCAGGGAAAAAUUAGCAAUUGCCCACCCAUCAUUCAUUUCCCAGGCUGUUCCCAGGGCACAGCAAUUAUGCACUUCACCUCACUCAGGACAGGCUGUAAAAUCUCGGUAUUGUCCUUAAGUGCUAAAUCAAAGCAAGCAAAAAACGGUAAGUAAAUGUUUCCCACGCAACUGCUGCCCUUUGUAAGAAAACUAUUGAACUGAAAAUGAAAGGCAUCCAUAGGUACAUAACCAACGUUUCUAAUUUUACUUGCAGUGAUCCAAGGCGCUGUUUAAACAGCGAUGCUAUUACAGAUUUACUUAGCUGGUUUCUUUCUGAGUGCACCAGAACCCUGAUCCUUGCAACAAAGAAUGCCAAACAAAGCAGCAUUAGGCAAGUUACUGUGAAACGAAGGCAUAUUUGCACAGCAAUAGAAAGAUCUAAAUGGGACCAUAACGAGCAACCAAAUAGUAACGCAGUUGAGGGCAUUGCUUUGUAGGAAAAAAGUGGCUAUUCUGAACCCUGAAGUGCCAAAUGUACUGAAUCACAAGAGCUCACUAAAAUGAGAGCAAACAUCUCAAUCCCUUCUGAGUAUGUACAAAUAUCAAAGCGAUUUGGGGCUGUUAACCUCCUCAGCUCGGUGACGGUAUCUUCACCAUCAGCGCACAGCACUUCCCUGUUCACAAACUGUCUGUAUAAUGGUUCGGUUUGACUGCAGCGCAAUGCAUGACUGAGGGGACGUUAAUAUCGAACAACUCUGAGUAGCUCAGCACCAAGGAUGAUUUAAAUAAAACAGAAAGUAAAGGAAGCAACACUACCCUUUGUAUCUGACAAUGUAGAGGGCGAAGUCGUGCCCAAAAUAUUUGGAUUUUUGUUUUCACAUGGAUUCCAUUGCUCCCACCUUCCUAAAGAGCCUAACAGUUUUAAGUGUACCUCCUUUGUUUCUGCUGCUCUGUCCUCUCUAGUUCCAAAGCUACAGCUGAAGUGCAUCCAUUCCCCCUCCCCUGCUCUGGCAUCCCAGCAGGACGGCAGCCAGGUCUCCUGCCUGUAUGCCUCACCGUGUCAGCUCAAUUCCUCCCCCUAGAAACUGCCUUCCAGUUUGCUGAAUGUUCGGGGACACAGAUAAAUUGUAAAGUGGUCAUGGAAAUAUAAGAAGCAAAGAUAUCUUUCUUUCCAGAUUAGAUAAUUAUCCACUGAGAGAGGAAAUAGCAACAACAAAACGGCUUCAAAUUCUUCUGAACAUAAUUGAGUCUUUUAAGAAAUACCCCAACACCUAAACAGCCAUUUCUUUACUUGGAGGAGGGGAAAAUGCCAUAAAGCUUAAGGAGCAUUUUGUUCGGGAAAUCACAUCUUUCCCUAUUUUGCAGCUGACACAUUGCAUUGCAGAUCUGUCACAGCACAUUACCUCGGUGAUGUAACGUAACGCAACACUGCUGAUGCGACCCAAUCCGAUGUGUCCAACGUGAUACAUCAGCUACAAUAUCUUAAAAGCUUUUUUUCUGAAAACAACCUGUAUAGAAGGGACUCCUCUUUACCAAUUAAAAAAAAAAAGCCUUCCCAAAGAAUUGCAUCACCGGGAGAUAAUUGCUUUUUCACAGGUAAUUAGCAAAUACAAUUAGUGGUGGGAAAAGUUUGCUUUUCAGUAAUUCACACCAAAAAAAAAAAAAAAAAAGGUGAACAAAAGAUGACUGUGGCUGACAAAUAACCGCUUCCCAUGGCACCAGCUGAACCCACCCGAGUAGCAGCGGUUACAGGCUCAGAUCACACCACCACCGGACUCACUUUCUGUUCCCCACCAACACUCGCAGGAUAACCAGAAGUUCACCUUGUGAACUCUUCACAAACUGUCUGGCAGCUGAUUUUGCUCACCUGUGCAGUCGAUGUUAAUCACAGAAUCAAACAAAGAUACACCUCUCAGCACACGCCAUGGGAAGCUCUGCAGAUGCUUUGAGGACUACCUGCAGUCCUGCAGAGAAUUGCUGGAUUUUCACAGACAGGAGGACACGGUCCAUGUCACCAUGAUCAGAUGAAUACUAAGGAUCAAUGGCCUUAAAUAUUCUACUGGAGUGGCAGUGGUAUUUGUCAGCAGAGGAGACUUCAGCUCAAGCAAAUGACACCUUACCGCAUUGAUGGCAGCCAUCCAGAAAGCAACAACCACCCCUCCUCCCUCUAUCACUUGUUGGAGGGCAAAUGAAAGCUAACCUCACAGAACAGCCUGGGUUGGUGGAGGGCACCUCGAAGAGCACCCAGUUCUAAACCCUGCCAUGGGCACGGCCUGCCAACCACUCCAUCCAUCACUCAGUCCCCUCAAACUGCCAGUGGCUGCUAUGGAGGGCUUCAGAUGCUGAAGCAGCCAUCCCCCCACGGCGCUCCCUUUCCCUUCCCUACCCAGCGCUCCAUGUGCAGGCUGCCAGCAGCAGGACUGGGGCGCAGACAGGGCGCCAGGCCCUUCCACUCACUGCUUAGACUGAUUUGUCAAGUGUAAAAUGUAAUUCAAAUCUCCAUAAAAAGCUAUUUGCUCCCUAGCCUCGCAAUUCUUACACCACGUUUCAACCGUGAAAUCCAAUUGGAAAAAAAAAAGAAGCCUUAUGUUCAAGGUCUGAAAAUCCUGCAAGAGCCUUUAGCUCUCAGACUGAAUUGUAUCUUAAACGCCAUCUGACCAGUUCUGUCUCUUUCCUCUGAUGGGAUGGCGUGGUGCCUGGUCUCUAAAAGCCUGAUCCUGAGAGCUGGGCACCCCCCAGACCUAAAUUCAGGUACUCGUGGGCUAUGUAUCCCUCCACAAAGCUGUUGUAACAACAGAAUCCAAGCUGAGCUUUCUCAAGUUUGAAAAUAUGGCCCAAAAUGCAACUGUGCAAAUUAAUCUCUGAAAUUCAGAGCCCAUGCUGCCCAGCUCUGAACGCCGCAGUAUCACAGCCCCCUCUGUACCAUACACACACAUAUUUCCAGCCCUUCCAGAUGCACUGCUGCUCUCCAUGCUGAGGCAAUUCAGCAGAGAGCACAAAUCCUGAUGCAUCUAUUGCAUGCCCUGGACUAUUUCCCCCCCCCCCCCCUCACUGAUGUAUAUCUGGAUACUCCAGACCUCUUGAAUAUAAAAACUCAUCACAGCACUCUGGAACACAGGUUGAUACCUCAGCUGAUACACACCAGUCAGACAAUUCAGGAGCUUUCACCAGUUCAAACAUUUUCUGAAUCAGGAACUUUCAGUGGGGUCCAAGUAUGGUAACAGCACAGGGUUGCCAGCAGCCCAAGUUCUAACCCAGAAAUAGAUAAAGCUUUGAAUUGACACAACUUCUAAUCCCUUAGUUAACAUGAGUUAUAGGAAUCAACACUGAAUUAUAGGAAACAACACAAUGAUUUCUAUUUGCACACACGUUCUGCUCCAAUGCCAUAAAUCAUAACCACAACCUCCACUGGGCUUUCUACAGGCACAGAAAUAGGCAAAAAUCAUUCAUCUUUCAUUAAACACAAGAGAAGUUUCUGGCUUUUAUGAUGAUAACACAAAGCCUGCAAAUACAAUCUGUAUGUAUUCUACAGGCUCAGAAUGAGCCUCGUUAUCAGUGUAUCAUUAGCUACAGAUAGUCCCCUUGUCAAUAGGAUGUGAGAUGUUUCUGAAGAGCCCCGAAGUGAUGUGUGCCACACAUGUGAAUUGCUCCAUACACCCAACCCAGCACAACGUGCCACCUGACCGCGUUAAGCUCGCAGAAGAUAGAAAUCAGAAGAGCUUUUUCCAAACCAAACCUCCCUCUGGGUUCUCUCUCCUGACCUCUGGGUGUGAAGGCAUACGGCUCUCAAAAGGCAUUCUGGAACUUCCAGCCAUCCCUUAUAUCACACAUCUUUUGCUUUCUGCUGUUAUGACACCCAGCCCAUGGGACCCUGUGCUUCUGGGUGAAAUCGGCCACCCCAUUGGAAAGCCAUCAUGCAGUGGCAAUUAUUUCUCUGUGAGCACUAUUCACCCAAUAUCCUGCUUUCUGUUGGAAGAAAUGUUGGCCCGGGUGCCUGACUUCUAACGAAGAACACUUCAUUAUAUCUCAGGGACUGGGAAACCUCAUCUGUAUCUAUUUAUGUAGCACACCUAUGGCUGUGGGAAGAAAAUACCUUUUUUCAAGUCAUGGGUUUUGUUCCAUGACAUGGCAGUUAUCUGCGGCAACAUCAGGUAACAGCACCACCUUCUGCCAACACGUUACCAUCUCUGUAGAAAACCAAUAGAUGCAUUUUCUCUCUGCGAUUUCAGUGGCUUUCUCAAACACUUCUGAUGCAGACAACAAAGUUCAGAGCAAAGCCCUAAGGGCUGUUUUGAAACACCCCAAGCUGUCUUACAGUAAUGAAAUUACUGUCAUGUAACCAACUUCAGAGGUGCAAUGAAUGCCCUGAGCUGGGCAACGCAACAGGGGGAGGCCGGCACUAUGAAACAGCCCUGGGAGGACAGCUUGGCACAUCUGUCUGAGUCUCUACAGGAAACUCACUCCCCAUCUCCGCAGUGUUUUACAUUGGUCCCCAGAGGUGCACAGAAGGGUACGGUACGUCCUACAGCUUUAGAUGAUUUAAGAUGCCUGAAAAUAAUCAUCUUUCUUUUUCUCUAGGUUCUCUUUGUCCUUAGCAGACAAUCUGGGACUGCCUUGCCUUCAGAUGUCCAAAUUUUAGGCAGUUGACUUUCAGAGAGAUGAACAUUACACAAUACACGUAUUUGCUUUUGAGAGCAAAACUGUGUUUUUACCUCAACAAACGCCCUAUUUUCCUGCCAAAUUCUUCCCUCUGUGUGGGACCAACGUGCACAUGGAGCCAAGGAACGCAGGAGAAAUGGUGUCAGCGGACACAGAGGUGAAGAAUAAGGUGCCAAUCAAUAAACCAGUAAUUAGCUCUGUUUGGCAGGCUGGGGGUGUUUGGGUUUUGGUAUUUUGCUGUUGCGUUUUUUUUUUUCCUGCUGGUUUUGAAAGAAGUUUGCUUAUCUAAGUUUUAUAACCACUUAAAUGAAUCCCAGCUCUGUUCAAAUCAAUGAAAGCUUUUGCGAGACAGCUGUAAUUUUAUGUGCAUGUGUUUCAGUAAAUUAGAGGGUUUAGCCUUAAGGAUUCACUUUAGUGUAAUCUACUAAAAAGAUAAGUAGAGCCAGAUGCAGUGUCUUACAACCGCUGGACAGUCGCAACUGGAGCGACAGCACUGACAGCAACUUUAUGGCUUUCCUCAUAGGGAGCAGAUUUCCUGACUCAAAAAGAGCAGUAUUUUACAUAAAUAGUUGUCAAUAUUUUGUAUUUACGAUGCAAAGAAAGAAGGGUGCAAAUAGUGAAAAAAUGAAAUAAAAUUAGCCCAAACAACUGAUAA